AUUCAAUCGCUUGAAUUCCGCUACCAUGCCACGUUGCCCAGGUUGUUGGUUCUGCACUAGCUGAGCUAAAGUAGUAGCCAGCUGAGUCAGACCAUUAGCGCCAAAAUUAGUGUUAGUAGGGUUGCUUCUUCUAGGCGGCAUUUUCCCUACAAAAAGAAAUCCCCACUCAACAACACUGUACAAAACUAAUAACGAAUAAAAUAAAAUACCCAAUUAGCCUCGAGUACCAAACGUCAAACAAAACAUAGAUUUCUUACCUUAUUCUCUAUUUAAUUUUAAAAUCAUUAAAUAUAGUCAAUACUCUU
rnacentral:lncRNA from 1 species